rnacentral:lncRNA from 1 species
GUAAUGUUACAUUCAAACUUAAUUUACAUACAUCAGAGUUUACUUCCCAGGUACGAGACCUUUAAAUACAUUCCUUACAAUACCUGACAAUAGAUCCCAUUGUCUUACUAACUAUAACCAUUAACUCAUAAUACACAUUUAUUCGAUCAGCUUUCCUUUUCCUUUGAUCGUGCCUGAGCCUUCAGGUUGCUCAUACAUAACUGAAAACAUUUAAUUUAAGCAAGGAUGAGCAUUUGAGUGCCCAGCAAGUAAUAGCAAUUAUAUAUAUAAGCUGAAAGAAUAUAAGUAUUCUCUUUACAUAACACUUCUACAACGAAUCAAAAGUUGUGAAGUAAU